UGACAUUGCUAACAGACUUUAGAUAAAGGGAAUGGGAAGAGGACUUUGUGUUCCAUCAUUGCAAUAGGUUUAGAGAUACAAUUAUCUGCCCAAGUUCACUUCCUAUGAAGCUUCGCGGUAAUUAAAAAAAACAUGGCGGACAAUAGCAGUGGUUUCUGGCAACUCCAGCCCCAGCAGUGAAAAUGAAAUGGUCUUCCAGGUACCAGCCAAGUGGUUGAUACAGCUUCUGCACAUAUUCUUAGUUCAACCUGUCAACCUGGACAUCAUGGAUAGAGCCAGGCAGACCACUGAAGAUAUUUAAGAAGAGGUCUUUCUGGUCAUGGAUGGACUAUCGUUACGUUGAGUGGACAGGACACCUUGUUUGUUGCCAUAUAUAUCGGAAGAUACAUGGCAUAAGGCAGGAGUACCUGACAGAUGGGAGAACCCUGCCUCCAGCCUCAAGCUCAUCAUCAGAGGGAAGGUGCACUGCCUGUUUCUGAAUGCUGAGAAUUCCCUCUGCAAUUUGAUGGACAAUUCCAUGGACAGUUGUCAUAGUGCAGAGUGCGAAUCCACUCCUAUGACUGACAUCAUGGAUAUCCAGUGAAUGGGAAACUGACCAGAUCCCAUUGUGCUGCCAGCUGUGCGGGCCAAAAAUCAGACCGAAGCAGUUGGCGUGACAGUGAUUUCUCGCAUGGCAUUGCAUGGGCUGAUGCAUGGUGACAGAUCGCAGAGUGGUCUUUGUUGGGGAAACCAGGACAGACCGACAGGGAGAAACUGAUGCCAAGAGCUGCCCAAGAGCCUCUCUUAAAGACAUAGGAAGGGCAUCAAUCUGUCUCCAGAAAACUGGCGAUAUGUUUCAUUUUUUUCCCCCAACCCCAAGAAAAUACUCAGCAGAUAUGUCGGUGUGUCUUUUUCAACUUGUGAAUUGUGACACACAGUCCCCGUUUGGCAGGCUGAACUUUGUUGAAAAGACUACAUUUCCUGACAGCGCCUUCAUUAAGACUGAUGGAAUGUGAACUGAAGCUCUAUGGUUCCCCUCCAUUGAAACCAUAUGUGCACUUUUUGUCAGUCUCUCUGAUUGAUACCGAAAUGUUUAGACAGCAAUUAUAGGUAUUUUCAAAAGAGAUUUUUUUCCUCAAAAUCAGGAAGAUGCCUUUUCUUUGUUGGCCAGUUCUGAAAAAAAAAUAAACCAUCAUGAGGCUCA
ensembl:lncRNA